rnacentral:rRNA from 1 species
UGGCUCAGGACGAACGCUGGCGGCGUGCCUAAUACAUGCAAGUCGAACGGUCUUUCUAUGGAAGCUUGCUUCCACUGAGAAGAUAGUGGCGAACGGGUGAGUAACACGUGGGUAACCUGCCCAUAAGAGGGGGAUAACAUCCGGAAACGGGUGCUAAUACCGCAUAGUUUUCUUGAUCGCAUGAUCGGGAAAGGAAAGACGGCCUUUGUGCUGUCGCUUAUGGAUGGACCCGCGGCGUAUUAGUUAGUUGGUGAGGUAACGGCUCACCAAGACGAUGAUACGUAGCCGACCUGAGAGGGUGAUCGGCCACAUUGGGACUGAGACACGGCCCAAACUCCUACGGGAGGCAGCAGUAGGGAAUCUUCCGCAAUGGACGAAAGUCUGACGGAGCAACGCCGCGUGAGUGAAGAAAGGUUUUCGGAUCGUAAAACUCUGUUGUCAGAGAAGAACAAGUUGGAGAGUAACUGCUCCAGCCUUGACGGUAUCUGACCAGAAAGCCACGGCUAACUACGUGCCAGCCGCGGC